rnacentral:lncRNA from 1 species
AUGGCACGAGCACGUGCGGCGCUCAGCUUAGGCUCUCGGAGGCAGCUGAGUUGGAAAUUCCGACGAAAGGCACCCACACACUCCCACUCUGCGCUGGCCCACCCGCGUGCACGCCCACCCCCCACGCGCGUCGAUUUCACCCUAGCUCAGAAGCGCACAGAUGUUUACAGCUUAGAGCCGGGCUCCGCAGACGGACGACAGAGGAUUAUCCGUAAACUUAAAUGGGGGUUCCUCCGCCCCUCUCUGUCCUCCCGCCACCACAGCCAGGCCGGACGCAGAACCGCACGGAAGCCUCCCCUACUCCCGCCACUCUGUUAUCAAAACAUGCAAAUGAGAUUUUCCAACAGGAUCUUAAACAAAUCUGGAGGAGUUAAUGCCGAAGCAAAAUAAUCCGCACGUUUGAAGUGACUGUGAGUUUCAGUUUGUCUUUUCUCCCGUGAUAUUAUUGCAAGGGAAUGAUAAUUAGACCUUUAGAAAUCCAAAGGGGCUCUCUUGCUCUCUUCCCUCUCUCAUUUCUCUCUCUCUCUCUCUCUCUCUCUCCUUCCCUCUCUCUCUCCUCCUCCUCUCUCCCUCCCUCCCUCUCCCUUUCUUUCUAACUCUGAUGUUGGCAAAGGGGGGUUUCUUAAUCAGACUGUUUUUUGGUCCCAGGGAAAGGAGGAAGAAGGAGAUUGUGAUGGAGAAAGGGGGUCUGUGAAACGUCAGGCACCGCACAAAGGCUUUGCCACGUAAUUACAGGCUCCUAUUAAGUCGAGAUCUGCCCUCCCAGGGGUCUCCAAUUUUCUUGUAUUCCCUACAAAGCCUCCUCUGCAUGCCAGUUUGUGCCUUUUGAAGUGCCAGAGAGCUUCUUGAUCCAACUGAGAAGGAAAAAGGAGCCCAGCAAGAAGAGGGGGAGAGAGAGAAGGGAAAGGGGGGAACCCAACAGCACCCUCCUUCGGACUCUUGAAGCCUUUUUUUUUUUAAUUCUUAAUUUUUUUUUUUUUUUUUUUUUUUUUUUUUUUACUCUUUACAAAAAGUAAAGUGAGAAUCCUGCUCUCUAAUACAUCUGCAAGACAUCACCCUCUCCUCCUGAAACUUUAGUCACUCCUGAGAAUCCACAGGAGUGCAGAGAGGGGGGAACACGUUUUCUUGAAGAUGUUUUAAAGCUGGAACAAGCCUUCUUCUGUUGGUGCUUGAACUCUUGCCUGGGAAUAACUUUUUUAACCUUUGAAAAAAACCCUUCACUUUGAUUCUUCUCUCCCACCCCUUCUUCUCUCUUCUUCUGUUUGCCUAACUCCCCCGCCCUGCUGGCCUCCGCUUUCCUUUCUCCCCCUUAUUAUUAUUUUUAGUCUGUGCGUGUGGACACUUUUGGAGAGUUGGAAGGGAUUUUUUUCUCCUGACUUGAACAUAGGGUGACUUUUUAAUAUUGUAUUUUAGUGUGGAUUAUCUCUUUGGACCGCCCCGGACUUGGCCUCAGGAAAGCAACCAAGGCUGUGGAAGGCGGCUGGUGCAGAACGCUCUGCUCUACAGAAGGGGGUCCCCCGCCCUCUUUUCCACUUUUUUUUUUUUUUUUUGGCCUUCCUCUCCUUCCCUCCCUCUUCCUCUCUCUCUCUCUCUCUCUCUCUCUCUCUCUCUCUCUCCACUACCCCCCUCUUUCUUCCCCACUCGGCUCCUCUCCCCCCUUGCGCCCACAGCGUUUGGUGUUGAUUCGAGCGGGAAGAGAGGGGGGUGGG